rnacentral:rRNA from 1 species
UACGAAGGGGGCGAGCGUUGUUCGGAAUCACUGGGCUUAAAGCGUACGUAGGCGGAUUUACAAGUCAGGAGUGAAAUCCCAGGGCUUAACCCUGGAAUUGCUUUUGAAACUGUGAGUCUGGAAUCCGGUAGAGGUUGGCGGAACUCCGAGUGUAGAGGUGAAAUUCGCAGAUAUUCGGAAGAACACCAGUGGCGAAGGCGGCCAACUGGACCGGUAUUGACGCUGAGGUACGAAAGCGUGGGUAGCAAACACG